CAAAUCUUGUCAAGUAUUUCAAACAAAAUCUGUUCUUCACUAUUCAAAGACAGACUUUUAUUCAAACACUGUCCAAAAGUCUACAUUUUCUUACCAAACAAUUUGACUUUUGAGUAUUGUACUCAAAGAGUCUUGAAGCAGUAAAUAAACAACCAAACAAGUACCAUAUACUCUUAAGUAUUCUGCACUACCUCACUUUUAUUAAUACAAAACUAUUUUACUACUUCAACAAGUGCAAAAACAGAAAAUUGAACAUUUCAAACUUCAAAAACUAAUGCUAAAAUAAUUAAUAAUAGACCAAAAUAAAAUCUGAAAAUUAAAAAUAAAAAUAAAAAAUCAGCCAUGAAAAAGAAUAGGAUUUUUACCAUUUUACAAUUCAAGUGGCCGAAAAAAUGGUGGUAUGCCAAAAGAGGUUGUUCGGGGAGGUCGCCGAAAUUUGGCCGGAUUUUGGUCGCCGGAUUUUCAGGGUGAAAUUGGCAUCAAUAGUUAGGUCUUGAGGAGCUAUAUCCAUUGAUGUAGGUAUUGUGGGGUGGUAGUGGUUGGAGCUUCAAGGAUUUGGGCAAAAAAGUGACGGAAAAGUUUCCAAGAUCUAAGAUUCAAGGAGUUUGAGGGAUUUUUGAAGGAUUUGGUUUGGAGAUAUGGAAAGAGGAAGUUGUGGAGAUUACAUUGUGUGAAUUUGGGGUAUUUGGAGGUGGUCCACCGGCGGUGGCGAUUUCCGACCGGCGGCUGUAGGCGGAGAUGGGGCGGCGUAAAGAGAGUGAAGAGAAAGAGAAGAGAGAAGAAGGAGAGGGAAAGAAGAGAGAGGAAAUAAGGGGGAAAUGAGGCAAAUUUUUCUGGAUUUUGGGCUUUAAAUACCUAGGAUGAAGAUCAAACUAGGACCGUUGGAUUAAAUCAAGAUGGGUGGAUGAGAUUGAAUCUUGUUACUUAACCAAAACAACGUUAUUUCAAGACAAAACUACGUCGUUUUAAGCUCUUCUUGGCAGCCCCACUUUGGACCGGAUUUGGGCUCUUUGGGCUCAUAUUUUGGGCCAAUUUUGGCACAAUUUUAAUUAAAUUACACUAGCCCAAUCCCUACCCCAUUUAUCAAACAAUUACUCAACUCUUAAAACCUAUACAUUCACAAAUAAGAACAAAUACACAUACACACACACACACACACACACACACAUAUAUAUAUAUAUAUAUAUAUAUAAGGCAAAAAUUAGCCAUUUACAUCUCCAAUUUUAGCCAUAUACAGAUAGUCCCCGCGUUUCUUAGAGUGAAACGAUAAGAAACGGUCUUGAAUUCUUGCCUCUUCGAUAUUCCCACUAUAACGUUAGCCCAUUUGAGCAUUAAAUGCCAUGACUCAAAGGCUGCGUAGAGGUCGCUGUCAGUUCGAUUAUCGAAAAGCCCACGAACCGUUAUUGAUUCGACCUUUCCGCUCCUCAAACAUCGCCCAAAUGGCUUCUAUAAAUACUUUAAUUUGUUUUGCCAUUCACACUUUUACAACAUCAAGUUUUUAGGGCUAAGUUCACCAUCUUCUGCAUUCAUCUCCUUUCUAUGCUUGCCUCUUCAUCCUCUUUCUUAUAAACUUUUUUUAUAAUUAUGGCUAGAACCUCCAGAACGGUACCUCAGAAAGAGGGAGUCGCUUCUUCAUCAUGCCCGUCUAGGGGAAAACCAUAAGUACCUCCGAGCAUCGAACAAUGUACCCCUGGCGACUUCAAUAUUGUGUCUGAUUUCACCAUAGAAAACCCCCCUUCUAUAUCGGGUCGAUGCGAGCCCGUAUCUCGGUACAUCAGCAUAGUGACCAACACAAAAAGGGUAAAGGAAGACUGUCGAUGGGGGGAGGCAAUGCAAGUAGAGAUCCCUAAACCUGAGGAAAGCAUAUUAGACCACAAAACGGGCUUCCUCAGCGUAUAUACAUACCUAUUUACUCUAGGUCCCGUAGAUCCUUCUUCCCCGAAGAGAGAUUCGGUGAUUCUUGAUUUUUGCUGUGAGUACCGAGUGACACUCGUUCAGAUUUAUCCUUCUUUCUGGAGGAUAUUUUACUUGCUCCGAUAUUUCUCCAACCGGGUAGCGGGAAUGACCUUCACUCUCAAUCAUCUGGUUAGAUUGUAUAGCCCCUGUCUCUUCCGAGGUUUGAUCAAGCUCCAUCCUCUAUCUGCCAAGACAUUCUUUGCGAGCAUCAAUGAGGACAAGGACCGGGGAUGGAUGAGCUGGUUCGUUAGAGUUAGAACCUCGAAUAUUAUUCCUGCCGAUAGGAUGCCAUUCCCAGAGGAGUAGAACAUGAAGCGUAAGUGUUCCUAUAUCCAACACACUUUAUUGCCCCUUCUUCCCCUUCUGAAACGGGUUUUCCUUGAUUAUACAGCCAGCGUUUGGUACCCUGGUGCGGUUCAGGACCUCCCGAGAUGGAUCAGACAGUUAGACUCUACUUUCCCUUACAACGAGCGUGCUUGGCGUGAUUUGGCCAAGACGCAGUGGCAGGCCAAGAACCACGAUAAGCACUACUUAUUGUCGUUGCCAAAUUUCUUAUGAGUAUUCUUUGUGUCGGUAAGCUUAAUAUGUCAUGCUUGUGUAGCCCUCGAGGAAGGUGUGUUGAUGAGACCGCCUCCUCCUGGUGAAGAAGGAACCUCGAAACCCAGAAAGGGUAAGAAGAGGAAGAAGGAGGCAUCGAUCGAGCCUCCAACUAAGACCGAUGCCACUGUCUCGACUUCGACUACGGCGGCAAGUCUUUGUGAGGAUGAGGAUGAUGAUGAUGGUGAUGAUCUCCCUUUGGUACAAGGGCAAGAUAGAGUGCUGAUGCUCCACAAUUUGUUGGUCAGAAGGUUGUUGGGUCGGGAAUGGUCGAUGCGGGCCAAACUCGUACUAGAGAGACCCUCGAUGAGGGUUUGGGUGCAGUCCCCAAGCCUCAAGUCGGACAUGAUACAGUCCGUACCGAUGAAACCUCGGUUGGUGAUUCUGGAGUGUCUGAACCCAAAGUUUCUUGGGGUUGAGACGAAGCCCUUACAGAAAUUGAUGCCCUAGGUGGCUUUAAAUUGGGCCUUUCAUUUUCACCGAGGGAAAUUAGGGAUGCCCAGGAUACAGGUACAGCCGAUUUGGAGGGUUCUUAUGGAGAGGAAGAUAUGCUCGAGGACUACUUCGUCGGCAUCGACGUGGACAGAGACCUCGACACCCCCAUCGCUCUAGAGGAGGCCGAGAAGCUUUAAUAACAAGUAAUAUUCUAGACGUAUCUUUUACGCUUCAAGUUUUUCCCUUGUCUUUUCAACUUUUCUGCUUUUGUUGUAGCAAGAAGUUGUAUGACCAUGCUUUCUCUAAGCUCCAAGACGAGCUCUCAUGCCAUGGGAAGGAACUCAAGGAACUCACCUCGGUGCUAAAUAAGUUAGAGGCUUCCUCCGCCCGAAAGGAAGAGGAGUUGGGUGAGCUUCGGGCAAGCCUGGAGGGGGUGCACCAAGAAAGGACAAACUUUGCCGAGCAGGUAACGCAUCAUUCAUGUGCUCAUUUUUUAUUCUUAUAACUUGAUGUUCAUGAUCUUAUUUUGCCUUCACAGAUUGGGCAAAAGGAUGCCCUGGUGGGGCAACUUCGGGAAAAGGUCGCAUGCAAGGAUGCAGAGAUCCUCGAGCUAAAGAGGCAGAAUGGGGCUGUGACCUCGAAAAAAGACCUUUUGAGGGGAGAGUUUGCCUCGACCUAGGAACUUCUUCAAAAUGCUCAGAAAGAGGUUGCUGCAAUAACUAUGGCCAAGGUUGAGGCCGUUGAAGAUGCGUCCUCAUACAAGAAGGAUGCCGCUACUGCCAACGCUCGAGCCAUGGAGAUAUCUUAAAAGGCCGAGCAGAAGUUGGCUCUGGCCGUUGCUUAUGAUCAUCUGCAAGCUCGGAGGCAGGCCUUCGAGGAAGCAAACGCCGAAGGUGUCGAUCUCUUUGUUGUGAUCGAGAAAGCCAGAACUUUGGAGGAAAGAUCAUCACCUUCGACUACUUUGGAUGAGGACUCUGGAAGUAAUUCAGAUGGUAGCGAGGGUGAGGAGUAGUCUCACACCGUCCUUUCUGCUGCUUCUUUCCUUCCUUUUGUGUAUGGGCUCCUCGGGGGAGUUUUGUAAAGGUACAAGCUGUAAACAUAUUUUUGGAAGUACAAAUUGUUUCAAGUCUUUUAUUUUUUAGUGCAUAUGCAGAGCUAGUCUUUUAAAUUUUGAUGUUCGGCUCUGUAGAGCCCAUACUUGGUAUAAUAGGGUCCCUCGAGAUCAGGCACCAUCCUGGGGCUAGGUUGAUCCCCAUUUUAGAGCCCCUUUUGUACUAUCAAAGGUCCUCGAGAUCGGACACCAUCUCGAGGCUAGAUUGAUGUCAACAGCUCCCUAGAGUUUAUUUUCAUUUUGACAAAGAUCCUCGAGAUCGGGCACCAUCUCGAGGCUUAGAUUGAUAUUAAUGGCUCCUCAGAGCCUAUAGUUAUAGCGACAGAGCUCCUCUAGAUCGGGCACCAUCUCGAGGCUAGAUUGAUAUGGGAAUCUUGACCCCUCGAACGCCAUAUGACAACGUCGUUCGUAUGACAUGGUCAUGAAGUGGCCGAGGUGGCCCCGCUAGUACACUUCCCCAAAAGUGAUAAUGGCCUAGUUAGAACUAAUUGGCCUUUAGGGUAGGCGAGCAGUCACCGCUUGCUCUAUAGAUGAGCUUACUUUCCUCUUAUUUGAGGACUUUGCUAUUUUUGUAGAGCUUUUCCUCCUUGCAUCAGUGCUUCCAUCGUUUUAGUUCAAAGCUUUCAUUUAAGUUUUCAUCUCCUUCUUCUUGUUUCACUGUAGCUAUGGCUGUUAUGCCCAAAUUUGUCCAGCAAGAAGAGGAUAGUUCCGCCUCUGCUUCCCGCUCGGUCGAUAGUACACCGUCGGCAUCCGGUGAGCUAACCUCGAGGUGCUUUGUCUCGAGGAGGGACUUUUCAUUAGAGAGACCGCCCAAUGUCCAGGGCCAUCGGGAACAUGCAUCGAGGUUUAUCUCAUCAAUAGGAGAGGAACACCUCGAGGCGGUUAGGAGAGACUGCGGAUGGGGAGAAAAGGUGGUAUUACAGGCACCUUCCAUGGAAGAGAGCAUCAUGACUCAUGUAGAAGGGUUUUUGAACGUAUACACGUACCCCUUUACGUUGGGUCCUCUUGAUAGAGUAGUGCUCGAGUUUUGCAGAAGAUAUCGGGUUACCAUGGUACAGGUUCACCCAUUAUUCUAAAGGAUAGUGUUGAUGAUAAGGUACUUUGCAGACAAAGCCAAGCACGAGUUUACCCUCGGCCACCUCAUUAGAUUGUACCGGAUCUUACAUUAUCGAGGCCUGAUUGCUCUACAACAUCGAUCCACCCAACCCUUUAUUGCCAGUAAUGAAGAAGAUGGUGACCGAGGGUGGAUGAGUCGAUUUGUCCGAAUGCAGACUAUCGAUAUUAUCCCUGCAGAGUUCCUGCCAUUUCCCGAGGAAUGGAAUUUCACACAUAAGUGGUACACUUGUGUUUUUAUCAUUUUGUUCAUGGUGGAGGCAAACUCCCUAAAGAUGCCCUCCUUCCUUUUCUGCAGCGAUCCCAUGGUUGCUAUACGAGGUCCCCGAUCUGGCAGAUUGAACUUGAAAACUAGCAUCUUACUUAACUUACGAUGAGUGUAAGUGGCGAGAUCUGUCUAAAUGUAUAUGGGAGGCCAAACACCACGGUACGUGAUGUGUGGCCUAUUUUCUUUGAAUGUUACUUUCUUUUAUGUGUAUUAACUCCGUCACCGCAGGUAUUGGAGAAAUUUCUGAGAUAAGACUGUGCCCCCUUGGAGAUGAGGAAGGAUCGUCGGCAUUGGGACCGAGGAAUGAUAACAAACGGAAGGAAUCUUCGAAUGACGAAGAUUCUCAAAGAGAGGCAAGCCCUGCUCGGAGGCUCAAAAGAGAUGUACCGGCUGAGUUUGCAGCACCUGAGGCUUUUAACCUCGAAAGAAUGGAUCCUCCUUUGCCACCUUCUUCUUUUCACGUCGAAGGUACUUCGAGAGAUACGGGUUAUCUAUCGUCUUCUUCGUCCCCCCAUCGAAGGUACUUCGAGGGAUACAGGUUUUUUGCCGCCGUCUUCACCUCCUGUCGAAGGUACUUCGAAGGAUGUUCGAGGCUAGGGGCCGCCUGAAUCAAGACGGGUCUCGAAUGACCAUGUCCCCACUGAGCUCGAUUUAACUGGGGCCGGUGAGACCAGGCCAGUAGAUGCACUCUCAACCUUUGAGGAGUCUCAGCGGCUUUGUUCUGUGGUGAGCUUUGGUUGACUUUGCUGGUUUUUUGAUUUUACAUUUUCAUUUUCUCAUUGAGCUUAUUUUUCAUAGGCCUUUGACAAUCUCAAGUCCGAGUUGCUCCGCCGUGAAGCCAGGCUGCGGAAAGCCUUGGACGAGGAGAAAUCCCUCAGGCUUCUUUGUGAUAAAAGGGCAAAGGAUUUGAGACAUCUUCGGUACGAGAUGAAUCAAAGCCUGAACUACGAGAGGCACCUUGAUAACUAGGGAUUAUACUUCAUUUUACACACGUUUUUACUUGAAUUUUGAUUAAAAAUAUAUACAAAACAGUCCCAAAGGCUUACAUGUUGUACUUGUUUGUAGGGUUUGGUCAAAAAGGUGACAAUUAGUCAAAAACAGCUCAAAAAGGAGUGAAACAUGCACAAGUACCAAGAACAAGACCAAGCAUAGUUGCAACAGAUCCACUGCGGCCGCAUUCUAUUUAGUGCAAUCCGCAGUGAGGAGAUUCAAAGAGGUGCAGAUUUUGGAAACUCAAGCAUUGCGGCCACAAACCAUUUUGUGUGGACUAUAGCAGCCUCACCGUGACCGCAAUCGAGUUUAUGCAGUCCGUGGAGAUGAGAUUCAGAGAGUUAGGAGUUUGGAGAAUAGAAUCCAAUAUGGUCCGCAAUCCUUUUUGUGCGGACCGCAGUUGAAGCCACUGCACCCACAAUGCAUUUUAUGUGUCCCACUAUGGUCAGAUUCAGAGAAUGUUUAAUCAAACCAAAAGGCUUCAUUGCGGUCCGCAGUGCAUUUUAUGCGAACCGCAAUACCUCGUCAGGGAUAUUUUUGUCCAGAAAAUUUGGCCCAGUAUAAAUACUUUAUUUUCACACUUUUAGGUCAUCUUUUGUAAUCUGUAAGAGACCAGAGCAUGUGAACGGCAUUUUAUGUCCAUUUUGAGUAAUUUGUAGCUAGAUUAACACUGAAUCUUCUUUAUCUUAGUUUAUAAUUAAAUCAUAUGGGUUAUUCUUCAUCUAUUUCUCUAUUUUCUUCCAUUUAUAAGUAGCUAGACCCAUUAGCUAGGGUUGUGGCUCAACCCUAGUGUGAGUAUUUGAUGGGUCUUGCGAUUUAAGGCUUAGAUGUUUUUGGGUGGUUGAUAUUUGUACUGAUUUGUGUUUUCCAUGUUGAAUUAGUAGUUGCAAAUACUAAUUUGUGCCUAUUUGACUUGGACUCUUCUUGAGAAAGAGAGCUCGAGUCUAGGAAAAUCAGUCCAACAAGGAGUUGGGGUGUA
rnacentral:lncRNA from 1 species